rnacentral:rRNA from 1 species
GACGAACGCUGGCGGCGUGCUUAACACAUGCAAGUCGAACGGGCCCGCUCUCUUUUUUGGGGGUGGGUUGAGUGGCGAACGGGUGAGUAUCACGUGAGUAACCUGCCCCCUGCUCCUGGAUAACUGCUUGAAAGGGCGGCUAAUACGGGGUGUGCCGGCUGGUCCGCAUGGGCCUGGUCGGGAUAGUUUCAUCUUCGGGUGUUUCGGUGGGGGAUGGGCUCGCGGCCUAUCAGCUUGUUGGUGGGGUGAUGGCCCACCAAGGCGGUGACGGGUAGCCGGCCUGAGAGGGUGGGCGGCCACACUGGGACUGAGACACGGCCCAGACUCCUGCGGGAGGCAGCAGUGGGGGGGAUUGCGCAAUGGGCGGAAGCCUGAUGCAGCGACGUCGCGUGAGGGAUGGAGGCCUUCGGGUUGUGAACCUCUUUCUCCGGUGGUGAAGGCCCUGUCCGUUGCGGCGGGGUUGACGGUAGCCGGGGAUGAAGCGCCGGCUAACUACGUG